rnacentral:rRNA from 1 species
AUCAACGCUGGCGGCGCGCUUAACACAUGCAAGUCGCACGAGAAAGCAGGAGCAAUCCUGUGAGUACAGUUGGCGUACGGGUGAGUAACACGUGGGUAAUCUACCUCCGAGUGGGGAAUAACCCUGGGAAACCGGGGCUAAUACCGCAUACGUUCGAGAGAAAGAAAGCAGCUUUGUGAAAGCAGAGCCGCGCUGGGGAGAGGAGCCCGCGGCCGAUUAGCUAGUUGGGAGGGUAAAAAAGCCUACCAAGGCAAAAGAUCGGUAGCCGGCCUGAGAGGGCAACACCGGCCACACUGGCAACUGAAAACACGGGCCAGACUCCUACGGGAGGCAGCAGUGGGGAAUCUUGCACAAUGGGGGGCAACCCUGAUGCAGCCGACGCCGCGUGAACGAUGAAGCCCUUCGGGGUGUAAAGUUCUUUCGGCAGGGGACGAUAAUGACGGUACCUGCAGAAGCAGCUGCGGCUAACUACGUGCCAGCAGCCGCGGUAAUACGUAGGCAGCGAAGCGUUUGUUUCGGAGUUACUGGGCGUAAAAGGGUGUGUAGGGCGGUUUCUUUUAAGUUUGGUGUGAAAUCUCCCGGCUUAACCGGGAGGGGUGCGCCGAAUACUGAGGAACUAGAGUGCGGGGAGAGGAGAGUGAAAUUCCUGGUAUGUAGCGGUGAAAUGCGUAGAUAUCAGGAGGAACACCGGUGGUGUAGGCGGCUCUACUGGACCGUAAACUGACGCUGAGACACGAAAGCGUGGGGUAGCAAACAGGAUUAGAUACCCUGGUAGUCCACGCCCCUAAACGAUGCAUAUUUGGUGUGGGUUCAUUCAGUUGAUCCGUGCCGGAGCUAAACGCCGCUAAAUAUUGCCGCCCUGGGGAGUACAGUCGCAAGGCUGAAACUCAAAGGAAUUGACGGGGGGGCCCGCACAAAGCGGUUGGAAGCAUGUGGUUCAAUUCGACGCAACGCGAAGAAACCUUACCUGGGCUCGAACGGCUGGUCAACGGAGGUGGAAACAUCUUUACCCCGCAAGGGGGGUCCCAGUCGAGGUGCUACACAUGGCUGUCGUCAGCUCGUGUCGUGAGACGUUGGGUUAAGUCCCGCAACGGGCGCAACCCUUGUCCUGUGUUGCCAUUGCCCGAAAGGCGGAACUCGCAGGAGACCGCCAGCGAUAAAGCUGGAGGAAGGUGGGGAUGACGUCAAGUCCUCAUGGCCUUUAUGUCCAGGGCUACACACGUGCUACAAAUGGCCGGUACAAAAGCGCUGCGAAGUCGCAAGGACGGAGCCAAUCGCAGAAAAAACCGGUCUCAGUUUCGGAUUGCAGGCUGCAACUCGCCUGCAUGAAGCUGGAAUCGCUAGUAAUGGCGGAUCAGAACGCCGCCGUGAAUACGUUCCCGGGCCUUGUACAACACCGGCCCGUCACAUCACGAAAGUGGGUUGUACUAGAAGUCCGCAGGCUGACCCGCAAGGGAGGCAGCGGCCCCAAGGUAUUGACUCAUGAUUGGGGUG